rnacentral:miRNA from 1 species
GGUCGGAUUGGAGUCUUAGGCG